AUUGAACGCUGGCGGCAGGCUUAACACAUGCAAGUCGAGCGGGGUGAUGGUGCUUGCACUAUCACUUAGCGGCGGACGGGUGAGUAGUGCUUAGGAAUCUGCCUAUUAGUGGGGGACAACAUCUCGAAAGGGAUGCUAAUACCGCAUACGUCCUACGGGAGAAAGCAGGGGAUUACUUGUGACCUUGCGCUAAUAGAUGAGCCUAAGUCGGAUUAGCUAGUUGGUGGGGUAAAGGCCUACCAAGGCGACGAUCUGUAGCGGGUCUGAGAGGAUGAUCCGCCACACUGGGACUGAGACACGGCCCAGACUCCUACGGGAGGCAGCAGUGGGGAAUAUUGGACAAUGGGGGGAACCCUGAUCCAGCCAUGCCGCGUGUGUGAAGAAGGCCUUAUGGUUGUAAAGCACUUUAAGCGAGGAGGAGGCUCUUUUGGUUAAUACCCAAGAUGAGUGGACGUUACUCGCAGAAUAAGCACCGGCUAACUCUGUGCCAGCCGCCGCCGUAA
rnacentral:rRNA from 1 species